rnacentral:rRNA from 1 species
CAAUAGCGUAUAUUAAAGUUGUUGCAGUUAAAAAGCUCGUAGUUGGAUUUCUGGUGGGAGCACGGGUCGGCCCUCACGGGUUGUACUGUUGUUGCGUCCUGCCGUUUCGGAGGGAAUGGUCUCGCUAUUAGGUUAGUGGGGUCGGGAACUCUGUCGUUUACUGUGAAAAAAUUAGAGUGUUCAAAGCAGGCCUUCGCUGUGAAUACAUUAGCAUGGAAUAAUAAGAUAGGACUAUGGUGCUAUUUUGUUGGUUUGCGUACUAUGGUAAUGAUUAAUAGGGAUAGUUGGGGGUAUUCAUAUUCAAUUGUCAGAGGUGAAAUUCUUGGAUUUAUGGAAGAUGAACUACUGCGAAAGCAUUUACCAAGGAUGUUUNCAUUAA